GCAAUGGUGGUUCAGUGGUAGAAUUCUCGCCUUCUAUGCAGGAGAUCUGGGUUCGAUUUCUGGCCAAUGCA
rnacentral:tRNA from 1 species